AGGGAGGGGGGUUGAACCAAGAUGUUUUGAAAUAAGAAGAAAAAAAAAGGGAACAUUGGUAAGUGUCGAAGAAGCUGAAGAAGGGAAGAAAAGUCGGGGGAAGAAAGGAGUUGAUUGUUGGAUUUAACGAACUGUUGGAAUAAAUCGACUCGCUGUACCAAACCGCCCUGCCAGAACCGACCCGACCCGACCCAAUUAGCAUAUUCCAAUCCACUACCCAAAACCAGACCCGAAGGACCUAAUUGUAGAUCUUUGAACGAAUUGAAAAUUUGUUGAAGACCCGAAAGAAGCUCGGGAAGUCUACAACAAGUGUUAAGUAGACCAAUGUCGGUAGCGGGAACGUGUGGAGCUGUGCGGCUACAGUGGAGACCCUUAGAUCGAGUCCUCUUUGUCCAUGUCGUUUUAAUGUCAUUUUGAUUUUUAUUUUGGGAAAACUUAUGCUAUUUUGUAACUGAUUUUCUUUUGAUGUGUUUCCGCAGAUCCCAUUAUGUUUUGGAACUAUUCGGAUUUUUAAUGCUUAUCAGGUAACUUUAAUUUUA